rnacentral:rRNA from 1 species
CCUACGGGAGGCAGCAGUGAGGAAUAUUGGUCAAUGGACGCAAGUCUGAACCAGCCAUGCCGCGUGCAGGAAGACGGCUCUAUGAGUUGUAAACUGCUUUUGUACGAGGGUAAACGCAGAUACGCGUAUCUGUCUGAAAGUAUCGUACGAAUAAGGAUCGGCUUACUCCGUGCCAGCAGCCGCGGUAAUACGGAGGAUUCAAGCGUUAUCCGGAUUUAUUGGGUUUAAAGGGUGCGUAGGCGGUCGGAUAAGUUAGAGGGGAAAUCCUGAGGCUCAACUUCGGAAUUGCCUCUGAUACUGUUCGGUCAGAGAGUAGUUGCGGUAGGCGGAAUGUAUGGUGUAGCGGUGAAAUGCUUAGAGAUCAUAGAGAAAACCGAUUGCGAAGGCAGCUUAACAAGCUAC